rnacentral:lncRNA from 1 species
CGAGCUUCGCGCAGUCCGGACAGCUGUGACACACCAUUACAGAUCUUCUAACAAGCCCUGACGCAAAGCAGGCUCCAAGUAAGGGCUGUUCCACCCCAAAUUCAACCUGGAGCUCCCCAGACUUGAGAGCAAAGCCUCAAUGUGUUGGUUCAGGGUCUACUUCAUGCUACCAAAGAUCCCGGAACAUACUUUGUGUGGGUUGUCGAGCAACAGCGUCUGAGAUAUCACUGCUGGAGGCAUCAAAGGACUGAAUGCAGGGAGCUUGGAGCUGGAUGCCGGCUGCAGCUUCACUCGCAUUGACUAUGGGGGAAAUUGAACAUGUUAAUCCAGAAAGCCACCUCAUCAGUAAGGACACUCAGGCCAACAGCAACUUAAUCUCCCUCAAGAAAAUCACUUCAGGACACCCAUAUGGUCCCACAGAAGCCUUUCCUUCUGCCCACAGGAAUAUAUUUAAACUGUGGUUCCCAGUUGGCCUCUGAGAGGCGGCAUAAAAUGCCAGAGAAAAUCUUGGCCUGAGCUCUCAACCCGCCUCUUACGCUCUAUGCCCUUGGACACAACACUUAGAUCAAGCCUUGGCUUGACAACAAUGUAAAACAGUGACAGGCUACCACAUGGGUGAGAGGACACACAUAUCUAUUUCUGUCUUUGCUUGCUUGCUUAUAAGCCUAAGUAAUAAAAAGAGGACAUGCAACCCUGGAUACUAGUGGCCACAUUCAUGCUUUAUAGGGUCCAGGAGAGCCCAAAGAGAAAAGCAGAGCCAACUAUCUUCAUCUAGGUGAGAUGUGAUAACACACACCUAUACUCCCAGCACUCGAGGUGGAGGCAGGAAGAGUGAGUUUGAGGCCAAGCUUGGCAAAAAGCAAGUUCCAGGCCAGCCUGGCCUACACAGUGUGACCCUGUAUCAAAAACAAAGCAUAGUGGGGCAUGUGGCAUACACCUUUAAUCACAGCAAAGGCAGAGGCAGGCAGAUCUUUGUGAAUUGUAGGACAGCCUGUUCUAUAUAAUGAGUUCCAGGCCAGCCAGGGCUACAUAUGACAUCCUGUCUUAAAAAC